rnacentral:rRNA from 1 species
CCUACGGGGGGCAGCAGUGAGGAAUAUUGGUCAAUGGGCUUACGCCUGAACCAGCAAAGUCGCGUGAGGGAAGACUGCCCUAUGGGUUGUAAACCUCUUCUGUCAGGGAGCAAUUGGCGCUACGUGUAGCGUUAUCGAGAGUACCUGAAGAAAAAGCAUCGGCUAACUCCGUGCCAGCAGCGGCGGUAAUACGGAGGAUGCGAGGGUUAUCCGGAUUGAUUGGGUUUACAGGGUCCGCAGGCGGAAUGCCAAGUCAGCGGUAAAAUCGCGGGGGUCAACCUCGCUCCGCCGUUGAAACUGGCGUUCUUGAGUGGGCGAGAAGUAUGCGGAAUGCGUGGUGUAGCGGUGAAAUGCAUAGAUAUCACGCAGAACUCCGAUUGCGAAGGCAGCAUACCGGCGCCCAACUGACGCUCAUGCACGAAAGUGUGGGUAUCGAACAGGAUUAGAUACCCUAGUAGUC